GCAUUGAUGUAACAAAAACAACAACAUUCACUCGACGAGCCCGCAAAACCUGCACACACAUCGAACGUACGCCGUGCUCCGGAAACUUCUUUCUUAUCGAAUAAACAAGAUUUUGUGAACAUAGUUCUUCUGCACGCCAGGUGCAUCGUUAGCAAGUGUUCAAAGUGUAAAAAAAACUCGUGUGCAGCGAUUGGAUUUGAUUUUCGGAGCACCGUGUUGGUAUCCACAAAAGAAUCAAAACAAAUGAGAAUGACAUCGUCGACCAAGAUAAUGCUGAUAGCUUGCGGGUCCUUUAGCCCACCAACGCCGAUGCAUUUUCGUAUGUUUGAAAUUGCGCGCGACCAUAUCCAGCAGAUGGGACUCGGGCAGGUCGUCGGUGGGAUAGUGUCACCGGUGCAUGACUCAUACGCCAAGAAAGGACUCGUGUCCGCUACGCAUCGUUGUGCAAUGAUUAAAAUCGGUCUCAAAUCAUCCGACUGGAUACAUCUGUCCGAUUGGGAAACGCAACAGGAAGAGUGGACCCGAACGCGCCAAGUGUUGCAAUACCAUCAGAAUUACAUCAACUCGUACUUAAAGGACACCAACGGGACCAUCAACAAUGCGCACAUUCCCGCCUGGAUACCGGAGGGCAUUAAGCGAACCGGUGGCCAGGUACAGCUGAAGCUACUGUGCGGUGCCGAUCUGCUCGAAUCGUUCGCAACACCGGGCCUGUGGAAGGAUGAAGAUUUGGAAGCGAUUCUUGGCUAUCAUGGCAUUGUGGUGAUUAGCCGGGCUGGUUCGAACCCAGAACAGUUCAUUUUCAAUUCCGAUCUUCUCAGUCGGUAUCGACGCAACAUAACGAUCGUCACGAACUGGGUGACGAAUGACGUCAGUUCCACGCUCAUUCGAAGGCUAUUGGGCCGCGGUCUGUCGGUGAAGUACCUGCUGGACGAUCAUGUUGCCGAGUACAUUCGAAAGUUUGGUCUGUUUGGUUCGAAAAACGAAACUGAACGGGGCAGUGCGUGUUUGCGCUCGAGCGCACAGAAUUAACUGCCACCCCUCCCUUGUGAUUGACACCCUCAUACCGUUCCCCAUUGUCGCUAAUACGCUAAAAAUUCGCUUUCAUCCCCGUCACACAUGUCUGUGCACGCUGGAUACUGGGAUCUGCAGUAGUAAGUACAUUCUAACACCGGGCAGCGCAGCAGAAGCGAUGAGCAUUUCGCCCAUCUCACCCAUCAACGAUCCCGACCUCUACAUCGAGCAUCAGAACCAACGGAACAAGCUCGGUUCGUCCUGCGAAGCGAUGGACGAAACGGAUUUUCCCAUGCCGCCCAUACCGACCACACUCAAUAAGGUGUUCUGCUGUGCCGGUGAGUCUCCGACUGCUACCAAACCGACCGGUACCCGGGGUACGUUUCUUGGACGGCCGGGCAGUGCUGUACAGAUCAUAACGACCGCAGCACCGUCACCGGUAACAUCGCCCGAUGGAACCACCGGCACCAAAUCGAUCGUCCAGCACAUUACGCUCGAUGAGAGUGAUGCCAGCGCGGGGAAGAAGGUGGGUGCAAGUCCCCGACGGUGUAGUGGUGGUGGUGGCGGCCACACCGAAAGCACAAACAGCACUAACAACGACAAUACCACCACCACCACCACGCCAACAUCGUCGUCUUCAUCGACCAAACGCACCACGACGACGACGACGGCGACCACUAACAACAGCACAGAUAACAUAGCAACCGACCGUAGCAGUAGCACGAAACGGGACGCGAUUGCUAUGACCAAAGCAACGCUUAGCACAAGCACAGCCCAAACAUCCGGUACGCACGCAUCGUCGUCGACGACCGGUCGGAUCAGCCCGUCCCGUAGUUACGACGAUAUGAUCAAAUUUGUUUUCACAGAGCACGGCAUUAAGGUCAUAAGCGAUCGCGAGUACGUAGUCUAGAGCGGGCGAGAGGGAGGGGGAAGUGAGCUUUUGUAUUUAACGCGCUAACCAAUUAAAAAACAUACGUGCUCGAUUUUAGACGUCGUGAAGAAGAUGAAAAUUUCCGCUUGUCCCGUUUAAACUGAAAAAAAAGCAAACAAAAUCCCCUAGAGGAGGUCAAUUGCGCAACGAUUACUGUGCUUCAUCCCGUACGAAAUCUCACCUGUUGGUUGGUUGUACGUAGUCGGUUUCGUGCUGCUCUAGUUCCUUUACGUCUUUUUUUUUUAUUCGAAUAGCUUGUUAAUAUUUAUUUACUGUUACAAACACACACACACAAAUACAUCACACGUUGCGUACCUUAAAAAACGGAAAAAAGGACACACAAGUCAGGACAGGAAGCUGAGUGCGAGCUCAAAACGAAACAAAAUCUUUAACGAAUGUACUCAACCGUGUUUUUUUGUUGUAGAUAAAUCUGUUUAGUUGUUGCGUUUUUGUUUUUGUACUCCACAAUUUUAAACUACCCGCAUAGAUGCUUCGCAGUUUGAACAUAAUAAGCAAGCGAUUUUAUAGCUCAAAUGCGUGUAAAACAACACGUGGGUAGAAUGGUGGCAGCAGUAGGGGGCAGGUGUACUCAGGUGUCUGUCGUCCGUUUAGGUGGAUUUCUUGUUCUACGAUAGGCUGUUGGUCGGCAGACGGCAGGCAGUUGACAAAUAGGUGAAUGUGAUUAGAUGGAAGACUUAAUAAACUAAGUAGUUACAGAUAAA